rnacentral:lncRNA from 1 species
UCGAAGUUAGCGGUUAGGGAAGAUCAAACGUAUUCCAGAGUUUACGUUUUUGUGUUAUAUGAAUCUGAUCGAAUGCCUUUUCUCAAACAAAAUCAUUAUACUCCGGUCAAGCCGUUGACCGUGUCGGCUGCGGUCUCUCACUUCUUUGAAGAACGAGGUGUUGACUGCUAACUGUUUGCGAAAACAUGCCAAUGGGAACUUCAAAUUUUGAUAUGAAAAAAGCUCUUGAGUCUUGAACGACAAGAAAUUCUUGUUCGCUUGGCCUGUUGCUCGACAGGAGCAUGGGAUGUUGUUACAGAGGCAAGAUUCAUUCAAGCAGAAGUUUGGAACCUUAGACGAUCAUAAUACCGACGGUCUACAGGAUUCUACUGAGGAUUUGUAGCCAAUUUGACUACUUAUGGGUUUCAAUGAAGAAAACAAAGCUAAGAAAGGAAUCCACAUAAACCCCAAGGGAUUUGCCAUUGGAGAUGGAAUCACUGAUUCAAUAUAAUGUGUACACUGAUUACGCGCUAGACAUGGGAAUAAUUAAGGAGUCUUCUACAUAAAAAACAUAGACAUGGGAAUAGUUAAGAAGUACUU